rnacentral:rRNA from 1 species
UACGGGGGGGGUAAGCGUUGUUCGGAAUUACUGGGCGUAAAGGGCUCGUAGGCGGCCAACUAAGUCAGACGUGAAAUCCCUCAGCUUAACUGGGGAACUGCGUCUGAUACUGGAUGGCUUGGAUCCGGGAGAGGGAUGCGGAAUUCCAGGUGUAGCGGUGAAAUGCGUAGAUAUCUGGAGGAACACCGGUGGCGAAGGCGGCAUUCUGGACUGUAACUGACACUGAGGAACGAAAGCCAGGGGAGCAAACGGG